GAGAGAGAGAGAGAGAGAGAGAGAGAGAGAGAGAGAGAGAGAGAGAGAGAGAGAGAGAGAGAUCUUUGUGCAGGCUGCUCUCCAGGUACACUCAGAUAGGUGCAGAAGAUGUGAGAAUCUGCUUCUAGUGGUUGUCAUUCAAUCAUCAAGGCUACAUAGUCACACAUGGUGUAGACGUGAUUGACAGCUGAUUCAACCAGUCAAAACUCAACUGAAUUGAAAUGUGGUCAACCAUGGCACCUUCACCUAACCAAAAAUGAACCCUUACUGUAAGCCUACUCACUUAACCCAUAAGGGGGGGAUGCACGCCGGACAUCUCUGCAGACAGCACUGAAGAUUUAAAACCAUCAUGAGCCGAAACCCUAACUCCAAUACCUAGCCCUGAAGUUAGCCACAUGUUGAACCUGUGUACAGGAGGUAUUAUGCGAAUAUUGAAUGCGAGGUUGGAUAGAACAAUGGACAAAGGUGUUGGUCAAUUCCUCUUGAGCCAGGUGUUGUAGUCGUUUGUUGUGUGAGGUCAGUAUAGAUUAAUGGGAACUUGUUACUCUGGGUGUCAUUUCUCCUUUGUUUAGUGGAGCACUUCAAUUGAGUGCUACAUAUUUUCCUUGGCACACAUUCAGCAAUUAGGAACCCCCUUUUCUGCCUGUAAGAGACUAUAUCUAUAUUUGUUGUGUGGAUGGUUGUCUCAGAAGAAACGACUUUCCCUGUAUCAACACUAUCUUCAUUGCCUUUGUCUUCAGCCAAUUAGGUUAUGACACACGAUACUGAACCCGAGGGGGCGAACACUGAGAACUUCUUAAAGUUGAGAGCUAAUCGUAUUCUCCCCAAUAACCUAAUUCUGCUGGUUUUGCACUUUAGAAUAACAGAUAAAUUACAAGAAAUGGAUGGUCUGUACAUUUUGAUGGCAGUAUUGGCUGAGAUGAUGAUGGAAGAUGACGCGAGUGAUAGAAGAUGUUUUCCCUAGCCAUGGUGUUAAAAGUGAAGUAUUACGCUUUCUGUUUGUCAAGUUUGCUGCAACAAACUAGCCGGGAGGCAGCAGCUGUGCUUGUGUAUAGCUUGAAUGGAAUUCACCUUUUGCUUUUUACAAUAAUGGCCUCAAAAACACACAUGUUUAUUUACUCUACCAGAGAGAGCUUCUGGUCACAAGAGACCUUUGAGUGUUGAAUGUAACCACGUGCAUAUGGUUUGUCAGAAUCGUAGGUCGAACCUCUUUCAAAAAUUCACAUGUUUCAGUAAUUAACACAGAAAUUUGCCAAAUAAAGAUCUCAUUCAAAAUAAGGACGUUCAAAUGUAUAGUAGAUGGUGUGUUAAUGGGGGUUAGGAGCUGGGUACUAUGAUCCAGCAAGGACUGCAAAGCAAGGAGUUCUUCCUUUCAAUGUCUUCUAUCUUCGUCUAUUUUCUUUGUGUGCAUCUUUAAACUGUCCUUUCUACUCCGAGAGGGAGGAGUAAGAAAAAAUCUUAAAAUAUUUAAUACAACUAAAUAUUACAUUAAAUUUACUUUAUAGUGCUGUUGCUGUGUGGCUGAAGUUGCAUUGAGGGUGCCCUAGCUUCUCAUGUUGGUCUUUGUCACCUGAACGGCCCGUGAUUCCAUUCCUUUAAAGAUGUUGUUUGUGAUGCUCCGGAGGUGGACCAUACUGGGGAGGAUGUAGGCUUGGAAGGCUGAGUGAAAAGACACAGUAUUUCACCCUCACUCAGUCACUGUAUGUUGCUGCGGAUAAAAGAGUUAGGUAAAUUACUUAAUAGUACAUAGUAGAGGUGGUCUUGUUUACUGACACAAGGUCAUGACCUUGUGUACUGAUCAAGGAUCGGACCAGCCAAGGUCACAAGGUCAUGAACAGACAUGCAAGUGAGUGAGUGAUUGUUGCUCCACUGUUAGUGAAAUGUAACUUAUUUUUCAACUGUAUUAUCUUAUUUACAACCCUAUUGUGUGUGUGGGGGUACUCCAUGUUGUUCCGUUUGGCCAAACCAGAGGAGAGUGUUCUCAUGCCUUAGUAACUGUCCCCCAACGGUCCCUGGUCUAGAUUAAACCUUCAGGA
ensembl:lncRNA